UCCUGUUGCCCCAGGCUGGAGGCAAUGGCACAAUCUUGGUUCACCGCAACCUCUGCCUCCCGGGUUCAAGCGAUUCUCUUGCCUCAGCCUCCCGAGUAGCUGGGAUUAUAGGCAUGCACCACCACGCCUGGCUAAUUUUGUAUUUUUAGUAGAGACGGGAUUUCUCCAUGUUGGUCAGGCUGGUCUCAAACUCCUGACCUCAGGUGAUUCAACCGCCUCGGUCUCCCAAAGUGCUGGGAUUACAGGCGUGAGCCACCGCGUCUGGACAAAAUUUUCUGUUUCUUCCAGGAUCAGCUGAAAUAUUUGGUCAGACUGUUCUACCUGUGGGAGGGGCAGGGGAUGGAGGAGGAGAGGAGGGGCUGGCAGAGGUGCUGUGCUCCACCUAGACCCUGGGUAGAUCCCUCUGCGUCCAGCCUCCCUUCUUCUCCACUCCACCAAGCCCUGAGGGUAUCACCUCCAUCGCACCUUCCUUCUGGGUUAAAGGUUAACCUCUAGGCGGUGGAAACAAUACUUAGUUUCUUUUUUCUUUUUCUUUUUCUUUUUUUUUUUUUUUGAGACAGUCUCACUCUGUCCCCCAGGCUAGAAUGAUGCAGUGGUGUGAUCUCAGCUCACUGCGACCUCCACCUCCCGGGUUCAAGCGAUUCUCCUGCCUCAGCCUCCCCAGUAGCUGGGAUUACAGGCAUGCACCACCACACCUGGCUUAUUUUUGUAUUUUUGGAAGAGACGGGGUUUCACCAUGUUGGCCAGGAUGGUCUCGAACUCCUGACCUCAAGUGAUCCGCCCGCCUCGGCCUCCCAGAGUGCUGGGAGUACAGGCGUGAGCCACCGCACCCGGCCUGAGAAUGUUCGUAUUCUACUCAUGAAGACUUCGUAAAUAUUGGGGUCCAGACCUAGAUACUACAACGUUACAAAUCUGUUCUGAUCACUGCUUUGCCAGAACCCUGGUAAAUCCACAGCACUGGCCGCGGGGGGGGGCCGCAUGCAAUUCCCUUCUUUCCUACAGGGGACGCUGCAGAGAAGGGCAGAGCAGAGCGCGCAGUUCGCGGGCAGGGGCCGCUUCUCCAGGAUAGCGCGCGUCCGUGGGGGUGGGUCUGUGCGAGCCCUGCGCAACAUCAGGGGCGGGAACAACUCUGGCUCUGCCCCCGCCGGCUGGAGCGCCUUCUCAUUGGAGGAGGGAACGGUCACUUGGCAGCGCCGUUGGGAUUGGAGGAAGAGGGUCUCGGGUGGAGUGACGCUGAGGCGGCGAGGGUGCUGGUGGCUGGCAGCUGCUGCCCUUUGGUAGCUGGUCCCUCAACUCAGUGGUGAAUGGCGACCGGAUGGAGCGCUAGGGAAGCGACGGCAGCGGCGGGUGGGCCGGGUUAUGGGCGCCCCGAGUCCGGGCGGCGUCCCCGGUGUGCCGCUGACCUGCUGGGUGGGCGCUGUCCUCCCGGAGGGGGGUCCCUUUGCUCUCCCGGACCCCUUUACCCGUCACUUCCUCGCCGGUCCCUGAGGCAGGUCCCCGGAGUCCCGCUGGGCGUGAGGUGCAGGGAGCGGCCGCAGGUGGACCCGGGGCUGGAGGGCGCUCGGCCGCCACCCGAGCGGGUCUUGGCCUUGAGCUUCCGAGCGCCUCAGGUUCAGAGCUGCACCCCACGAGCCCGGGAGGCGGUGGUCCGCGCCCUGCCUGGGUUGCCCCACGGCGCCCGGCCUCCUUCGAGGGGCCUCGGAGCGGCCUGGCCCGGCCCGGCUGAGGAGUCAGAGCUCGCGCUCCCCUUGCCCGGGAGCUGCAGCCCGGCUCCUCCGUGCGGGCGCUCGUUCGCUGAUCGCGGGCACCUCGGGCCAAAUCCACCCCCUCCGAGACCCGCUCCGCUUUCUAGGAAUCUCUUUCCCAGACCUGGUGCCACCUGUUGCUGGGUCUCCCACUAAGCCUUCGAGAUCUUUGGCACAGCUUCCUUUGAACUCUUUCUCCCCGCUGCGGCUUGAGCUGGGCCUGCUAGGAGGGUUGCUCAGAAUUCUAAUGCCAGGAAGAGCGCUCCGUGCCUGGAAAGCUGGAGGGAGGAGAGAGGACUUCACCUGGGAAGGAGGAGAAAGGCUUUGAGGGGGGGCACAGUUAUUUGUGUGGUCCUUGAAAGGCAAGAAGACUGGGGCCCGUGGCCCUGAAAGGGGAGGUGGGGCUCCCAGCAGAGGGGACUGAGGUCUUCAUAAACAAUGAGGGACCAGAGCAGAGGGAAGGAGGACGAGAUUCCAGACUCUAGUUCCAAACAAGGCACCUGUGAUUUCUCAUCCCCUGGGCAGCGACUGCCAGGCGCCGUUCAGCGGACACCUGGGACUUGCAGUGUUAUGUGCCCAGGGAUUUUCCUGGACGGGAUUGUGAAGUAGCGGGUACCAGGUCAAGAUGCCAUGGUGAACAAAACAAAGCCCUUUCCCACAUGGAGCUUUAAUUCCAAAGGAGGGAGGGAGAAAACAACCAACCUAUGGGCUGGAACAGCUGGUCGUGAGUGUCAGGACUAGAGAAGAAGACAGGAACCAGGAUGGGAAGACGGACAUGUUACAUUUUAAGCUGGAGCUUCCCCUGCAGUCCACGGAGCACGUUCUCGGUGUGCAGCUCAUCCUGACUUUCUCCUAUCGAUUACACAUGAGUCAGUCCGCUGGGAGGCUGUCCUCUCCCUUGUGUCUUUUGAGUAGACCAGAGU